AGAAUCAACGCUGGCGGCGCGCUUAACACAUGCAAGUCGCACGAGAAAGGGAGCAAUCCUUAGUAAAGUGGCGCACGGGUGAGUAACACGUGGAUCAUCUACCUUUUAGUGGGGAAUACCCCUGGGAACCGGGGAUAAUACCGCAUAAGCUCGAAAGAGGAAAGCAGCAAUGCGCUGAAAGAGGAGUCCGCGGCUGAUUAGCUAGUUGGCGGGUAACGCCACAAGGCGAAGAUCGGUA
rnacentral:rRNA from 1 species